AAAUGAAUUGACGGGGCCCCGCACAAGCGGCGGAGCAUGCGGAUUAAUUCGAUGCAACGCGAAGAACCUUACCUGGGUUUGACAUAUACCGGAAACACCUAGAGAUAGGUGCCCCUUUAUGGCCGGUAUACAGGUGGUGCAUGGCUGUCGUCAGCUCGUGUCGUGAGAUGUUGGGUUAAGUCCCGCAACGAGCGCAACCCUCGUCCUAUGUUGCCAGCGGAUAAUGCCGGGGACUCAUAGGAGACCGCCGGGGUCAACUCGGAGGAAGGUGGGGAUGAGGUCAAGUCAUCAUGCCCCUUAUGUCCAGGGCUUCACGCAUGCUACAAUGGCCGGUACAAUGAGCAGCGAACCUGCAAAGGUAAGCGAAUCUCAAAAAGCCGGUCUCAGUUCGGAUUGGGGUCUGCAACUCGACCCCAUGAAGUCGGAGUCGCUAGUAAUCGCAGAUCAGCAACGCUGCGGUGAAUACGUUCCCGGGGCUUGUACACACCGCCCGU
rnacentral:rRNA from 1 species